rnacentral:tRNA from 1 species
UCCCAGGUGGCUCAGAGGUUAAAGCAUCUGCCUGCAAUGCGGGAGACCUGGGUUCGAUCCCUGGGUUGGGAA